rnacentral:rRNA from 1 species
UACGUAGGGUGCGAGCGUUAAUCGGAAUUACUGGGCGUAAAGCGUGCGCAGGCGGUUUUGUAAGCCAGAUGUGAAAGCCCCGGGCUUAACCUGGGAAUGGCAUUUGGGACUGCAAGGCUGGAGUGUGGCAGAGGAGACUGGAAUUCCUGGUGUAGCAGUGAAAUGCGUAGAUAUCAGGAGGAACACCGGUGGCGAAGGCGGGUCUCUGGGCCGAUACUGACGCUGAGGAGCGAAAGCGUGGGGAGCAAACAGG